rnacentral:rRNA from 1 species
GACGAACCGAGCGAACGUUGUUCGGAAUCACUGGGCUUAAAGAGCGCGUAGGCGGGCUGUCAAGUCUGGGGUGAAAUCCCACGGGUCAACCGUGGAACUGCCUCAGAUACUGACGGUCUCGAGGGAGGUAGGGGCGAGCGGAACGGGUGGUGGAGCGGUGAAAUGCGUUGAUAUCACUCGGAACUCCGGUGGCGAAAGCGGCUCGCUGGACCUUUUCUGACGCUGAGGUGCGAAAGCUAGGGGAGCAAACGGG